UUUUUUUUUUUUUUUUUUUUUUUUUUUCCCUAACCGAAUUCACCGUCUUAGGGUGGCACCAACUAUUAGAGAUUGGAAAAACAGGUGCUUAUUGGUAUUUUUGGGCGUUGGUUAAACCAUUGAUCAUAUUUCUCAUUCCAUAAAAUUUGUGAAUUUUAAUGUUUCUCACAAUCUCUUUAAUUUUACCCUCUAUAGAAUAAUUCAAUAAAUGAAAAUACAAUAACUUUAUAUAUAUAUAUAACUAAAAGAUUAACUUAUAAGAUAAAAAUCCAUUUCUGUAUAAAAUACUAAGACGAUAAUUCAUUUAUAAAAUAUUAAUCACUUACUAAUAAAAAUUCACUUAUGUGAAAACAAAAUUGAUUUAUAAAAUAUUAAACAUUAAAAUU
rnacentral:lncRNA from 1 species